rnacentral:rRNA from 1 species
AUUGAACGCUGGCGGCAUGCCUUACACAUGCAAGUCGAACGGUAACGCGGGGCAACCUGGCGACGAGUGGCGAACGGGUGAGUAAUGCAUCGGAACGUGCCCAAUAGUGGGGGAUAGCCCGGCGAAAGCCGGAUUAAUACCGCAUACGACCUACGGGUGAAAGCAGGGGAACGCAAGACCUUGCGCUAAUGGAGCGGCCGAUGUCAGAUUAGGUUGUUGGUGGGGUAAAGGCCUACCAAGCCGACGAUCUGUAGCUGGUCUGAGAGGACGACCAGCCACACUGGGACUGAGACACGGCCCAGACUCCUACGGGAGGCAGCAGUGGGGAAUUUUGGACAAUGGGCGCAAGCCUGAUCCAGCCAUGCCGCGUGCGGGAUGAAGGCCUUCGGGUUGUAAACCGCUUUUGUUAGGGAAGAAAUACUCUGGGCUAAUACCCCGGAAGGAUGACGGUACCUAAAGAAUAAGCACCGGCUAACUACGUGCCAGCAGCCGCCGUAACAC